GAUGAAGAACGCAGCGAAAUGCGAUACGUAAUGUGAAUUGCAGAAUUCAGUGAAUCAUCGAGUCUUUGAACGCACAUUGCGCCCCCUGGUAUUCCGGGGGGCAUGCCUGUCCGAGCGUCAUUUCUGCCCUCCAGCCCGGCUGGGUGUUGGGCGCUGUCCCCCCGGGGACACGCCCCAAAGGCAGUGGCGGCGCCGCGUCGGGUCCUCGAGCGUAUGGGGCUUUGUCACCCGCUCGGGACGGACUCGUCGGCGCUGGUCUUCCUCCAGGCGACCCUUCGGGGCUCGUCUUCCUUCGGUUGACCUCGGAUCAGGUAGGGUUACCCGCUGAACUUAAGCAUAUCAAUAAGCGGAGGA
rnacentral:misc_RNA from 1 species